rnacentral:lncRNA from 1 species
AAUAUGGAAACAAACAAACAUACACCGAGGCAAAUACUCGAAUCAUGUAAACGAAUAACACUUAACGAUAUAGAAAUCAAGUCAUAAACCGCAUAAUCUCCCAAAUACUCUCAAAAUUAACCUAAUCAAACAUGUCUAUAUUCUAUAAGCAAACGGAUAAUUGAGAUCUAUUUUAGUUUAUCCCUAAUUAACCGUAAAUUGCAUAAUUGAGAAACUGGAAAACAGAAAAUUGAAAUCGUA